rnacentral:rRNA from 1 species
UACGGAGGGUGCGAGCGUUGUUCGGAAUCACUGGGCGUAAAGGGCGUGUAGGCGGUCCGCUAAGUCUGAUGUGAAAGCCCGGGGCUCACCCCCGGAAGGGCAUUGGAAACUGACGGACUCGAGUCCCGGAGAGGAGAGUGGAAUUCCUGGUGUAGCGGUGAAAUGCGUAGAUAUCAGGAGGAACACCGGUGGCGAAGGCGGCUCUCUGGACGGUGACUGACGCUGAGACGCGAAAGCGUGGGGAGCAAACAGG